GUUGUUAUGAAAGGGGUUAAGUUUUGCUUCAAUUUGGCACUAGAUCAGAGUGGUUUUUAUUUCUCAAGGAUCCUGUCCUAGUGGUUUGAGGGCAGGGCUAGAGUGAAUGCCAGCUGGGGGCUAGAAAAGGAUGGAAAAGAAGAGGAAGAGGAUUUUGUUGGGGGGCUGCACCCAAGCCUGGUCCCCACUGGACAGCUUACUCUCAGAGUACUCCUAUCACCCCCAGAAUUUAAGCCCUGUAUCUUUCUAUAACUCAAAUGCUUUCUUUGGUUUUUUAAUGCCAUAGUAAAAAUAGAAAGAAAUUUGACCACCAGCCUGCAUUCCAGUAUCAAUUAUGGUUGACUGCAGAAUGAAGAAAAACUCCUCAUAGAGACCAGUGAUACUCUCAGACAAAACUGUAAAAAACUCUUUGUGAAUUUUUUGGAGUCAAACUCCAUUCUGAAUCUUUUGUUAAAAAAAAAAACCAACCAAACAAAAACUUCUCUUAUGAAUUUACCACCUGUCAUGGAUGAUUGUUUUUUUUCUAACAGUAUUGGUCGAUUACAAAAUGCUUCUUAAGAGGAUAGUUAUAAAUAGAUUAUACUGUCAUUGUCCAUUCUGGUUUUGUCCUUUCUGGGUCAAGCGGAAGCUCACUAAUCUCUUUUGUGUAUUGGUUAAUUGUGGUGGAGAAAGAGACUCGAGGACAAAUCCGAGUCAACAAUUGACUGUACCACAAAAUGGGCUGAUCCGGUCCAUUCCAUCUGUUCUUUCUGGUGGAGGGAUUCAUAAGCAGGAGAAUGACCAAGAGCCUAGAGGAAGAAGAAAUAAACUCCACAUCACAUAAUGAGUACCCAAGGAACCAAGAAUCGACAUCAAUGAAGUAACCACCAUGGUGAACUGUCACAGUCAAUUAGGGCUCUGAGCCAAUAGUAAUAAAGUAUUUAAGUGAAUGUAUUAGACCUAAAGA
rnacentral:lncRNA from 1 species